ACGAAGCCUUUCUUCCUGCCUCGUCUGUCUGUAUGGACCCUGAUGACAGCGAAGUCUGGAGGCAGUGUUUUUGAACAUCUUUCAGCCUGGCCACUCUCUGUGGGAGUCCCUUUGACUUGAAGAGCGCACACAGGUGAACCAUCCCGUCUCCUGUUGACACACAUACCCCUCAGAGGACAGUCCAUCCUCGGCCCUGCUCGACGUCCUCCUCUCUGUCAACUAGAAACUGCCCCUCCGCACCCUCACCCUCUCCCGCAUCAGCCGUUUUACAGCCUCCGUCACCGCGUGAUGCACUUUGCCUUUAAAGCCGAGAAUCUGCCUCAGACUGCCGCUCCACCCAGCGCUGCCAUCUCCCAGCCAGGGAGUCUGUGAGAGCAUGGGGAAGCCAUAGACGUGCGUGUUUACACA